GACCUGUUAGCGCAGUCGGAAGUGUGCUCGUAGGAUUUAGUAACUGUGUCACAGAAUUGUAUGGGCGGCCCCGGUCCGAACCCGGGACAGGUUG